UUACUUCAGCAAUACAUACACUAAAAUGUAAACUAUACAGGAAGGAUUAGCAUGGCCUCUACACAAAGAUAACAGUCAAAUGCAGGAAGCAUUGCAUAUUUCA